rnacentral:tRNA from 1 species
UCCCUGGUGGCUCAGAUGGUAAAGCAUCUGCCUACAAUGCAGGAGACCUGGGUUCAAUCCCUGGAUUGGGAA